rnacentral:lncRNA from 1 species
AUGGGUAAGAAGCAGGUAGCAACUGGAGAGCAGAGUAUCGCCUUCCGAAAACAUAACCCACUUCUUGCCCUACAAACAUUGGGCCUUGGCAACAGGAGGUUAGCAACAUGGCAGCCCGGGAGCUGCCUCUGCUACUGCUUUCGACACAGGGCGGAAAUGGAUAGGAGAGUAGCUUGGUGUUCCAGAAACACAGCAGCCUGGCACAGUGAACACUGCAUUUGGACCUUGUUCUCACAUGCAAUUACAUCAGGAGGUGAGCCAAAUGAUUUGGGAAAGACAUGGGCAUUUCCAACAAGAAGGCUUUUGGCUGUCCACCAAAAAGCUGGUUGGUCUUCAUAAUUCCAAGUCAACUCUCUUCUCUCCAAGGUUCUCAUUUAAAAAGAAUACUGCCGUCAAUCCUUCUCCUCAUUCUAGAAGAAUGUUUGGGACUUGGGUUGACCAAUGCUUAUGGUGGCAAACACUGAGAAAAUGUUACCUUAGAUUUCUUCAUUGCUUGAUUGUUCGCUACAAAAAAAUUCCCCCUAUUGCUUCUUGUCCUCAGUCUUAAAUUAAAGCUCUUCACAUUGUGAAGCACAUCAUGUAUUUUAAAUAUUUUAAACCUCAUAGACGAAAUUUUAGCUGGAGUGCAACCUCACC